CCCUGGAGAAAGACUGUUCCGGGAACCAGUCUGUAAACUGAAGCACCAAGAUAUUAGUGUCAGGUAUUACUCCCAUUUUGUGGCCUUAUUCUUUCUCUUGGCGCAUUACUGGUGCAGGUGCCGGAAGGACUCAACUUAGUGCCAUGGGCGGAGGCAAGAAAUACCUGGAAGACGCUGAAAUGGAGGCGGAAUUGAGAUACAGAUGUAGAGAGACAAGAUAGAAAAGCAGGACCACCACCAGCACCAUGGAAGAAGGGGUGGAAACAAGUGAGGUGGGGAGCAGUGGAGUCCUCCCCCCACCUCCCACUACAUACCCCACCGUCACCAUCAUCAGAGAGAGAAACAUCCUGGAGUUAGAGAGUGCAUCAGGAGAAGCUUGAGAAGGUGAAGGAUGGGUUUGCCAAGCUUCAGAAUAUAGGAAGGAUUACGAGCAGCUUCUGAAGAGGCUGAAAACUUUGCCGGAUAAGAUUAGCCAUGAGUUGCUAUCUGGAUUGGCACUGGCCCAGACCAACACACUGAAUGGAGACCAACACCCUGUUAAAAUGCUGCAUGUGAAGAUCCUGCAUGGCAGACUGCACCAUCACUCACUGGAGGACAUUGCAUGGCAGCCUGGAAAAGACAAGAAGCACAAGACCAGUGUUGGGACAAAUGAAACCUGAUUUAAUAAAUAUUCCUAGUAAA